rnacentral:piRNA from 1 species
UGCCAGUGGAUGCCAGCUCUGAGGGAGGCAC